rnacentral:rRNA from 1 species
UCGGGAAUUUUGGGCAAUGGGCGAAAGCCUGACCCAGCAACGCCGCGUGAAGGAUGAAGUAUUUCGGUAUGUAAACUUCGAAAGAAUAGGAAGAAUAAAUGACGGUACUAUUUAUAAGGUCCGGCUAACUACGUGCCAGCAGCCGCGGUAAUACGUAGGGUGCAAGCGUUAAUCGGAAUUACUGGGCGUAAAGCGUGCGCAGGCGGUUGUGUAAGUCAGAUGUGAAAUCCCCGGGCUCAACCUGGGAAUUGCAUUUGAGACUGCACGGCUAGAGUGUGUCAGAGGGGGGUAGAAUUCCACGUGUAGCAGUGAAAUGCGUAGAUAUGUGGAGGAAUACCGAUGGCGAAGGCAGCCCCCUGGGAUAACACUGACGCUCAUGCACGAAAGCGUGGGGAGCAAACAGGAUUAGAUACCCCUGUAGUCCCUGAGCGGGCUGGCAAGGCGCAU